rnacentral:rRNA from 1 species
UUCCAGACUCCUACGGGAGGCAGCAGUUAGGAAUAUUCGUCAAUGGGGGAAACCCUGAACGAGCAAUGCCGCGUGAAGGAAGAAGGUCCUAUGGAUUGUAAACUUCUGUUGUAAGGGAAGAAAGAGUAGAGUAGGAAAUGACUCUAAAGUGACAGUACCUUUCAAGAAAGCUCCGGCUAACUACGUGCCAGCAGCCGCGGUAAUACGUAGGGAGCGAGCGUUAUCCGGAUUUAUUGGGUGUAAAGGGUGCGUAGGCGGUAAUACAGGUCUGUGGUAUAAGCCCGAAGCUUAACUUCGGUUCGCCACAGAAACCGUAUAACUAGAGUAUGGUAGAGGCAAGUGGAAUUUCUAGUGUAGCGGUAAAAUGCGUAGAUAUUAGAAGGAACACCAGUGGCGAAGGCGACUUGCUGGGCCAAAACUGACGCUGAGGCACGAAAGCGUGGGGAGCGAAUAGGAUUAGAUACCCCCGUAA